UUCGGGUUGUCAUGCCAAUGGCACUGCCCGGUAGCUAAAUGCGGAAGAGAUAAGUGCUGAAAGCAUCUAAGCACGAAACUUGCCCCGAGAUGAGUUCUCCCUGAGACUUAGAGUCUCCUGAAGGAACGUUGAAGACGACGACGUUGAUAGGCCGGGUGUGUAAGCGCAGCGAUGCGUUGAGCUAACCGGUACUAAUGAACCGUGAGGCUUAACCUU
rnacentral:rRNA from 2 species